rnacentral:lncRNA from 1 species
UGGUUGAGUUGGAGAUCAUGCAGACAGCUCUCUGAACCUUGGCAAGGUCCCCUCCUGGAACAACAGUUGGUGGCUGGUAGUUGAUACCGCACUUGAAUCCAGUAGGGCACCAAUCCACAAAUUGGAUUGUGCGUUUGGUCUUGAUGGUGGCCACAGCCGCAUUCACAUCUUUGGGCACAACAUCUCCUCGGUACAUAAGGCAGCAAGCCAUGUACUUCCCAUGGCGUGGGUCACAUUUGGCCAUCAUUGAAGAGGGUUCAAAAGCACUGUUGGUUAUCUCAGCCACCGAUAGCUGCUCAUGGUAAGCCUUCUCAGCUGAAAUGACAGGGGCAUAAGAAGAAAGCAUAAAGUGGAUCCUGGGAUAUGGGACCAGGUUAGUCUGGAACUCAGUCACAUCCACAUUCAGGGCUCCAUCAAACCUCAAAGAUGCGGUAAGAGAUGAGAUAACCUGAAUCAUACAUGCCAAAACACCACAUGUAUGAACAACAAUCAUUAAAUUUCAUAACAUAAAGACGAGUAUUUUAGUAAAAAUGCUUAUAGUUACCUGAGAGACAAGGCGGUUAAGAUUCGUAUAAGUGGGUCGUUCAAUGUCCAAAGAACGCCUGCAGAUGUCAUAUAUUGCUUCGUUAUCGAGAAGAACAGCGACAUCAGUGUGCUCAAGGAGUGAAUGAGUGGACAGCACACUGUUGUAAGGCUCUACAACUGAUGUAGAAACCUGAGGUGAAGGAUAGACGGUGAAACCAAGCUUCGACUUCUUUCCAUAGUCAACAGAGAGACGCUCCAAGAGAAGAGAUCCAAGACCAGAACCAGUACCACCACCAACAGCAUUGAAAACCAAGAAGCCUUGGAGCCCAGUACAGUUAUCAGCAAGCUUUCGGAUACGAUCCAAGCAGAGAUCAACAAUCUCUUUGCCAAUUGUAUAAUGGCCACGAGCGAAAUUGUUGGCAGCAUCUUCUUUGCCACUGAUGAGUUGCUCAGGGUGGAAUAACUGGCGGUACGUACCAGUCCUCACUUCAUCGAUAACAGUAGGCUCCAGAUCAACAAAGAUGGCGCGAGGGACGUGCUUCCCGGCACCAGUUUCGCUGAAAAAGGUGUUGAAAGCAUCGUCUCCUCCACCAACAGUCUUAUCACUUGGCAUUUGGCCAUCAGGCUGAAAAUCGAAAAUUCUAAAAGAUCACCACCAUUAUCCACAUUCAAAACCUUAGAUCUCGCCUAAAUUAUCUAUAGAACUGAAAUCGUUCAGCUAACAUUUCAAUUAAUCCAGAUCUAUCCAUUUUUAACGAGUCCGAUCACAAUUUACAACAACAGAAACACAAUUAAUAAAUUUAAACAUAGUCAAACCAAAUCACAAUGUUAAAAUAAUUAAAAAGGGAAAAAAAAUGAAUCUAACAGCAAAAUAAAU